GUGAUUCUCCUGCCUCAGCCUCCCGAACAGCUGGGAUUACAGAGAAAAAGGUGGCAAGGGGAAAUCGUCCAAGACUCCUGGGUUCACAUCUACAGGGUGUGUACACUAGCAACACGGCAGAACACAGAGAGACUUGGAAGCUUGUCUUCAGAGACAGUAAGUAUUUUUUUCCUGGUGAGAAUCAGUGCCCUACAACUACCUCUGUUCCACUUUCUUCAGUAGCCAUAGACCCUCUGAUGAGGACACCCCCUCCAACAGGCACCGCCAGGCCGCCCUGCCUCGAGACCCAGAGGCACCGAGUCACAUCAGCUCUGCAGCUCUGCAGACCUGGCUCUCGCUCGAUGUGGGCCUGUGUGCUCCAGCCCAGAACACAAAAGAAGACACCCAUGCAAAUACCAUUAAAAGUUUAUUGUUUUAUUUCAAUUUCAGGAACAGUGUACACUUUCCGUUCAGCCAUCGUCACAGCACGUGCUGUUUGGGUGCGGCCACGUAUGGAUGGCAGAGCCGACCUCAGCUCAGCGACGCAGAGUGCUUCUGCUGAAAAAUGUGGGGGUUUGUGUCUGGAGUUUUGUUCUUUGUAACCCUCUCAUCUUUGAGGCUAUAUAUUAAUAGACAUGAUAUUAAGCCCACACGAAACAUUCAGAAUUAGAGUGGGAUUAAGAAGACGCGUUUUGGCAUCACACUGACUACUCCUCAUCUUCGUCCUCGGGGAGGGUGAUGCCAGCGUGGGGCUCUUUGGAAGGCCUAUCACGGGUGCGCUAAAAUCAAAAGGUGGGUCAGUAGGUUAGGGAGGGAGGAGCAAAAGGAGAUGUCAGCAGGUGUUAGGAAGGAUGUGGUCAGAAGAGCUCUUCUCUGUCUCCACAGGGCCAUCCGCUCAGCCCGUGUGUCUCGGUGAGUAAUUCGGGAGCAGGUGCACGCCUGUGCCUACUCGCUACGACGCGUCUUCUGGGAGGAGGUGGAUGAGCCGGUUAUCUUCUCAGGGAGGGUUAGUGCUGGCCACUGUGCACUGCCGCUGCCUGCACGCCCGGUCACAGCCAGUGUCUAAGGGUGACUGGCGCGGCUGCGAGGCUGUCCAGAGGACUCCUACCCUUCUGCUCUGAGUGCGUAAGUCUUCCUGGACUCUCCGGCUGUGGGCUCUGGUUUGGAAACGAGGUUGUUCGUAGAGGCUGCUCUGGGGCCACCAUGCAGGGCAACAGUGACGUCCAGAGGCCGCCUGCUUGACAUCUCCAUCACCAAAUCUCCAGGAAGACCCUGUUGCCUGUGUGAGGCCAUUGCCCAGCCCACAUUUGCCUCCUUUUCCUCCCUCUGCCACACGCGAAUUCAGCUAAUUGGGGUGUGUGGGCAGCCACGACCUGGGGGCAUGCCCCGCUCUCUGUGCUGCCCCACGUUGGACUCUAACAGCUGCCCAGCCCGCAUGUCACAUACCAAAAGCUCCCACAUGCAGUAAGCCACUCCUUGACUGUCUAAUCCUGUUAGGAAAAAUGAAGUCUACUUUAGGAGGUGAGAGAAGGACAGAAAAAAAAAA